rnacentral:lncRNA from 1 species
UAGGUGAGAGUUGUUGUAUAGGUGUAAGCAUGGUGCUGAGAUCUAGAUUACUUUUAGAUAUCCCCUGUCUAGCCGGAUCGUGUGGUAGGCCGCGUAGGUGACAGUUACGUUGGUCCCCUGUAGUCCUCCUCCCGUUAGCAGGACUGGUAGGGUUUAUCGGCCUAUGGAUAAGCAUCCUUUGUGGUGUAUUCUUAUCACGUGGUUCGUCCCAGACAUAGACAUACCUCUUUGAAGUAGAGAAACCAUAGUUAUCCUCUCUAUUCUCCUACCAUCGCCCAUAUAUUAGAUUGCUCUACUCUCUAUUCCCAUCUUAUCACCCAUUAUUAUCUUACCUUUAAUAUUGUUCAUAUUCAAUUCUACCAUCUCACCUAUUUACACCUACCUAUCUAUCUAGGUUAAGUUAGAGCGUAGAUCAGUUCUCCCGUUUCCCUGUGGAUACGAUAAAACCUUUAACCGGGUAAAAGCUACAACAGUAUCCGUGCGCUUGCGGAUUUAUCUAUGUGCGUAUAUAUACCAUAGUACACUCUAGUGCCAUGCUGGGGAUGACAACCUAGUAUUCAAGUGGUGUUAGCAAGUGUCAACAAGCAUUUUUAGCGUCGUUGCCGGGG